CACGUCAGCGUAUUUUGCUGACGUGGAAACAAAUCGCGUCCACGUAAGAGCUAUUUGUGUCCACGUCAGCAAAGCGCGCUGACGUGG
rfam:Gossypium hirsutum cultivar TM-1 chromosome 22, whole genome shotgun sequence